GACGAACGCUGGCGGCGUGCUUAACACAUGCAAGUCGAACGGAAAGGCCUGCUUUCCCUUGUGGAUUGCGGGUACUCGAGUGGCGAACGGGUGAGUAACACGUGAGUGAUCUGCCCCCAACUUGGGUAUAAGCCUGGGAAACUGGGUCUAAUUCCCGAUAGGACUGCAGGGUGGUGCCUGUGGUGGAAAACGAUUUUCUAGUGGUUGGGGAUGAGCUCGCGGCCUAUCAGCUUGUUGGUGGGGUAAUGGCCUACCAAGGCGGCGACGGGUAGCCGGCCUGGGAGGGUGGACGGCCACAUUGGGACUGAGAUACGGCCCAGACUCCUACGGGAGGCAGCAGUGGGGAAUAUUGCACAAUGGGCGGAAGCCUGAUGCAGCGACGCCGCGUGGGGGAUGACGGCCUUCGGGUUGUAAACUCCUUUCGACCGCGAGGAAGCCACCUGGUGGGAAGGGUGGUGACGGUAGUGGUAGAAGAAGCACCGGCUAACUACGU
rnacentral:rRNA from 1 species